rnacentral:rRNA from 1 species
UACGGGGGGGGCAAGCGUUGCCCGGAUUUAUUGGGCGUAAAGGGCGCGUAGGCGGCUCUGCACGUCCGUUGUGAAAUCGCCCGGCUCAACUGGGCGGGGUCAGCGGAUACGGCAGAGCUUGAGCAAGCUAGGGGGCAAUGGAAUUCCCGGUGUAGUGGUGGAAUGCGUAGAUAUCGGGAGGAACACCAGUGGCGAAAGCGGCUUCCUGGUCCGACACCGACGUUCAGGCACGAAAGCGUGGGGAGCAAACAGG